rnacentral:rRNA from 1 species
UAAUUGAAGAGUUUGAUCAUGGCUCAGAUUGAACGCUGGCGGCAGGCCUAACACAUGCAAGUCGAGCGGUAACAGAAAG